UACGGAAGGUCCGGGCGUUAUCCGGAUUUAUUGGGUUUAAAGGGAGCGCAGGCGGGAGCUUAAGCGUGACGUGAAAUGUAGCCGCUCAACGGCUGAGUUGCGUCGCGAACUGGGUUUCUUGAGUGAGUACGACGCGGACGGAAUUCGUGGUGUAGCGGUGAAAUGCUUAGAUAUCACGAAGAACCCCGAUUGCGAAGGCAGUCCGCGAGUCCUUUACUGACGCUAAAGCUCGAAGGUGCGGGUAUCGAAC
rnacentral:rRNA from 1 species